CUCCAACUGUCAGAAGGAGAAGAAAAACUAUGGAUACCCUCAAAAUCAAUAAAGAUUCAGUAGGAAAAGGAAAAACUGCUUGAGAAAGAAAAAUGACAGCUCAUCCCUAGAGUUGACAACCAUACAGAUGUAAUCUUUGAAGCUUCCAGGAAGAAGAUGUAGCCCCACAACAAUGACUCCACCUGGUUGAUAUGACGUCAUGAUGCUGACAGCGCUACUAUGAGACCAGUUUUUGGAUACCAACUGUAAAAAUGAUGCACCUUCUUACAAUAUUCUGGCCAGAACUCCACAUAAGAACUUCAUAAUAAUAAAUCUAUCGACUAUUCAGAGACCAUUUUGCAAUUAUACAAAACAGCAACAGAGCAAUCUUGAAAUUUAACCAUCAUUUGGCAUUUGGUGUGGGAUAAUUCUGUAUUCUGUCAAUUAUGUUUUAAAUAAAUGCUGAUUGGCCAGUAGCCAGGCAGGAAGUAUAGGCGAGACAACCAGACAGGAAGUAGAGACAGGGAAAUGAGAACAGGAGAAUUCAGGGAAAAGGAAAGUCCAUUCCUCUGCAUUCCUGUCCGACCACAGAAGGAGCAAGAUGUGACUAUACUGCUGAAGAAGGUACUGAACCAUGUGGCUAACACAGAUAAGAAUAAUGGGCAAAUGUAAGUUAUAAGAGUUAAUAAGAAGCCUGAGCUAAUGGACCAAUCAGUUUAU